UACGAAGGGUCCCAAGCGUUAUCCGGAUUUAUUGGGUUUAAAGGGUGCGUAGGCGGAUUAUUAAGUCAGGGGUGAAAUCCCAGGGCUCAACCCUGGAACUGCCUUUGAUACUGACGAUCUGGAGAUCGGGAGAGGUUGGUGGAAUUCCGAGGUGUAGAGGUGAAAUUCGUAGAUAUUCGGAGGAACACCAGAAGCGAAGGCGGCCAACUGGCCCGAUACUGACGCUGAGGCGCGAAAGCGUGGGGAGCAAACAGGG
rnacentral:rRNA from 1 species